rnacentral:rRNA from 1 species
UACGGAGGAUGCGAGCGUUAUCCGGAUUUAUUGGGUUUAAAGGGAGCGUAGGCGGGUUGUUAAGUCAGUUGUGAAAGUUUGCGGCUCAACCGUAAAAUUGCAGUUGAUACUGGCAUCCUUGAGUACAGUAGAGGUAGGCGGAAUUCGUGGUGUAGCGGUGAAAUGCUUAGAUAUCACACAGAACACCGAUUGCGAAGGCAUCUCACGAAUCCGCUAUUGACGCUGAUGCACGAAAGCGUGGGUAUCAAACAGG